GAUGAACGCUGGCGGCGUGCUUAACACAUGCAAGUCGAACGGAGUUGUUUCGCUGACGAGGCUUCGGCCAAAUCUUGAAGCAGCUUAGUGGCGGACGGGUGAGUAACGCGUGGGUAACCUGCCAUAUACAGGGGGAGUAGCACUUAGAAAUAAGGUGCUAAUACCGCAUAAGCGCACAGUUCUGCAUGGAACAGUGUGAAAACUACCGGUGGUAUAUGAUGGACCCGCGUCUGAUUAGCUGGUUGGUGAGGUAACGGCCCACCAAGGCGACGAUCAGUAGCCGGCCUGAGAGGGUGAACGGCCACAUUGGGACGUGAGACACGGCCCAAACUCCUACGGGAGGCAGCAGUGGGGGAAUAUUGCACAAUGGGGGAAACCCGUACGAUGCAGCGACGCCGCGUGAGUGAAGAAGUAUUUCGGUAUGUAAAGACUCUAUCAGCAAGGAAGG
rnacentral:rRNA from 1 species